GGAUUAUAGUUUGCUAUAAUUGUCAGCUAAGUGGCGCACGGGUGAGUAAUGUAUAGGUAAUAUGCCUCUUACUAAGGGAUAACAAAUGGAAACGUUUGCUAAUACCUUAUACUCCUUAUUAACAGAAGUUAAUAAGGGAAAGAUUUAUUGGUAAGAGAUUAGCCUGUAUUGUAUCAGUUAGUUGGUGGGGUAAUGGCUUACCAAGACUAUGACACAUAACUGGUUUGAGAGGAUGAUCAGUCACACUGGAACUGAGACACGGUCCAGACUCCUACGGGAGGCAGCAGUGGGGAAUAUUGCACAAUGGACGAAAGUCUGAUGCAGCAACGCCGCGUGGAGGAUGACACAUUUCGGUGCGUAAACUCCUUUUAUAUGAGAAGAUAAUGACGGUAUUAUAUGAAUAAGCACCGGCUAACUCCGUGCCAGCAGCCGCGGUAAUACGGGGGGGUGCAAGCGUUACUCGGAAUCACUGGGCGUAAAGAGCAUGUAGGCGGAUUAAUAAGUUUGAAGUGAAAUCCUAUAGCUUAACUAUAGAACUGCUUUGAAAACUGUUAAUCUAGAAUGUGGGAGAGGUAGAUGGAAUUUCUGGUGUAGGGGUAAAAUCCGUA
rnacentral:rRNA from 1 species